UUUGACCUCUCACUCUCCCCGUUGCUUGCUUUUACGGGCCUUUAGUUCUCGGGCACGUUCGUUUUCCCUGCUCCUCUGUUUGCUCCAUGUGUCGUGUUGGAUGGAGGCUUGGUAGUAGUCGGCGAGUGGCUUGAUCAGCUGAAAAUUGGAUCCCUGUGUUGGGGUUUGACCUCUCACUCUCCCCGUUGCUUGCUUUUACGGGCCUUUCGUUCUCGGGCACGUUCG
rnacentral:lncRNA from 1 species